rnacentral:rRNA from 1 species
AUGGCGCGACUGCCGGACAAGAUUCCGGCGAGCCAAUUCAACGCCGCCCUAUCCUUCAUACAACAUAUCAAAGCCGGCCUCGCGUCCAGCCAGACCAUCCACGCAGAGCUCCUCCACCUCCUCGCGUGCUUGGGCAGGGGCGAGACCGCCGACACCCACGCCGUCCUGGCCAGGGCGGACGCCAUCCUCCGGGGCCAUCCCGACCUCCUCCAGCGCUUCGACGCCUUUCUCGGCCGUCCCAGCCACCACCAAGCUGCCAAACCCGUCCGUGAAGACCCUGUCGCCGCCGCGCCGCCGCCGAAGCGGCCCAAGAGGGAGCACCGCCGCACGGUCGCCGAGUGCGCCGGGCCCAUGCGGUUCUUGGAGCGGGUGAAGAUGGCGGACGCCGGACUCUACGACAUGCUCCUGGUGCUUCUGUUCAACGUGGAGAUGGAGGGGACGCUGAACGCGCAUCAAAUCUACGCGAAGGCCCUCGAGGUUUUCGGCUCCGCCGACAGCCCUCUCCUCCGCGGCUUCACGGAGUUCCUGCCGCUGCCGACGGCCGGGCGUGACUUUCUGACGCGGCGCCGCGCAAAGGAGGAGCCGGAGCACGGACCGAAGCGCAAGGCCGUCCCCGCCGGCAAGCCGAGCCCGAGCGCGGCAAAGAAACCCCGCGCCGACCACGACCGGAAGACGAAGAGCGGCAGUGUCUCCGCGUUUAGGGACGCGUGGGAGUUCGAGACCACCUACUCGAAGCUGGCGGUCACGCUAAGACGCACCGAGAAAUCCCUGGAAGAGCUCGAGCCAAGGAAGGAGUCGCCGGAAGAAGUCGAGCCGGAGGCGGCGCCGGGACACCAUGGGCGGCCGCGCACGCUGGAGCAACUCUACCCUGGCCGCGAGUGCCAGGAGGUCCUCCAGGAGAUGUAUGGCGGCAUGUGGGGGCAGAUGCGGGUGGCGCUCGAGGACGGCGCGCGCACCGAGGUGGCGCUGCGGACGAUAUUGCGCAGGCUGACGAAGCUGGAGCAGGUGGCCGUGAAGAUGGCGAUGGGGCGGCGCGAUCCCGCCCGCGUCGAGGCCCGAGUGAAGCUGCUUGUCUUAGAGCGGCGGGAUGGCGCCCACGCCGAUGGCGGGAUGAACAAGCUUAAUGUAGAGUUGUAG